CGAAUGGAAAUCUAACCUCUCUUCAAUAAUAAAUAUGAAAGCUUGUUCAUUUAAGACCUUUUGCCCAAUCUAUUAAGUAUUUUAUCAACAUGAGAGCAAUUUAAUUGAUUGUCAGAGUAAAAGAUCAAAACUUAUAUAUUUGAGAGACAUAUCAUCAUGUUGGAUCAUUAAUUCUUAAUGACUUCAAAGUUCUUUUAUGAUAAUAAGAGCAUUGGGGCACAAAUAUCAAAAUAUGAAUUCAUGCAAUUUUUUGAUACAUCUUAGAGCUCUUUUAAAGACUUUCUUUUAUUCCUUUAGAAAAUAAGCACAAUUUGAUACAAAAAAAAUACUGAAUUGGCACAAAAUUGAAGUUCUAAAGAGCAAGCCAAUUAGAACUCAUUAGUGAAGUUCAAAAAUAGAUUUUCUAAGAGAUACUCAAGAAAAUUUAACACAUUAUUCUUUCCCUUUUUUUAUUAAAUUAGAGGCUCUUAAGAUUUGCAAUUUGGUUCAUGAGUGAUGCAUAAGAUAUACUAACCAACUAACACGCCUCAAUGGUGUAUCAUAAAGAUUUUCAGAUGAUACAUAUUGGAGAGUAUUAGGAUCACUUUUCAUUUAGUAUUCUUUCCCUCUCCUUUAGUUAUAGAUUUAUGGGAUUAAGUUCCAUAUAAGAGUUAGAAUUUGAAGAUAAUGUUCAAUAAAAUUGUCAAUCUCAAAAAUAUAUUUUCUAUAAGUUUCAGCUUAUUUUCAUAAGACUCAAGGUUUGAGAUAAGACAGCCUUU
rnacentral:lncRNA from 1 species